AAAGAUAAAGAAACAGCCACGUGGACAUGUGGUGGAAGAUCAUUUGAAGGAGGGGAAGAGCAAGUCAAAGGCCCUGAGGCAAGAGCACACUGGGCAUGUUCAAGCAUCGGGUGCUAUGGGAUACCUGCAUUUCACUGUACAACCUCGGACUCUCCCUCCCUCCAUGAGCAAUAGGAGAACUCCUAGGAACAAGUCUAACACUAGGAGUUCCAGCAAUCUUGAAACUAAAUCCAGAGGUCACUGUGAACUACAUAAACUAAAUUCCUCCAAAUACAAACCAAGCUUCCAACCCCAACUCCCCUUAGCUGAAAGGGUGCUCACAGG
rnacentral:lncRNA from 1 species